rnacentral:rRNA from 1 species
GACGAGGGAUCCUAGCGUUGUUCGGAAUCAUUGGGCGUAAAGCGGGUGUAGGUGGCUUUGUAAGUCAGGCGUGAAAUCCCAGGGCUUAACCCUGGACGUGCGCUUGAUACUGCGAAGGCUUGAGUGUGGGGAGAGGUCACUAGAAUUCCAGGUGUAGUGGUGAAAUACGUAGAUAUCUGGAGGAAUACCGGUGGCGAAGGCGGGUGACUGGCCCAACACUGGACACUGAUGCCCGAAAGCGUGGGGAUCAAACAGGAUUAGAAA